rnacentral:rRNA from 1 species
UACAGAGGUCUCAAGCGUUGUUCGGAUUCAUUGGGCGUAAAGGGUGCGUAGGCGGCGCGGUAAGUCGGGUGUGAAAUCUCGGAGCUUAACUCCGAAACUGCAUUCGAUACUGCCGUGCUUGAGGACUGGAGAGGAGACUGGAAUUUACGGUGUAGCGGUGAAAUGCGUAGAUAUCGUAAGGAAGACCAGUGGCGAAGGCGGGUCUCGUGGACAGUUCCUGACGCUGAGGCAACGAAAGGCCAGGGGAGCAAACGGG